GAUGAAGAACGCAGUGAAAUGCGAUACGUAAUGUGAAUUGCAGAACUCAGUGAAUCAUCGAGUCUUUGAACGCACAUUGCGCCCCCUGGUAUUCCGGGGGGCAUGCCUGUCCGAGCGUCAUUGCUGCCCUCAAGCACGGCUUGUGUGUUGGGCCUCCGUCCUCCUCCCGGGGGACGGGCCCGAAAGGCAGCGGCGGCACCGCGUCCGGUCCUCGAGCGUAUGGGGCUUCGUCACCCGCUCUUGUAGGCCCGGCCGGCGCUUGCCGACACAUCAAUCUUUUUUCCAGGUUGACCUCGGAUCAGGUAGGGAUACCCGCUGAACUUAAGCAUAUCAAUAAGCGGAGGA
rnacentral:misc_RNA from 1 species